rnacentral:rRNA from 1 species
UCUGACCAGCCAUGCCGCGUGCAGGAUGACGGUCCUAUGGAUUGUAAACUGCUUUUGCACAGGAAGAAACACUCCGACGUGUCGGAGCUUGACGGUACUGUGAGAAUAAGGAUCGGCUAACUCCGUGCCAGCAGCCGCGGUAAUACGGAGGAUCCAAGCGUUAUCCGGAAUCAUUGGGUUUAAAGGGUCCGUAGGCGGUCUUGUAAGUCAGUGGUGAAAGCCCAUCGCUCAACGGUGGAACGGCCAUUGAUACUGCAGGACUUGAAUUAUUGGGAAGUAACUAGAAUAUGUAGUGUAGCGGUGAAAUGCUUAGAGAUUACAUGGAAUACCAAUUGCGAAGGCAGGUUACUACCAAUUUAUUGACGCUGAUGGACGAAAGCGUGGGUAGCGAACAGGAUUAGAUACCCUGGUAGUCCACGCCGUAAACGAUGGAUACUAGCUGUUGGGAGCAAUCUCAGUGGCUAAGCGAAAGUGAUAAGUAUCCCACCUGGGGAGUACGAACGCAAGUUUGAAACUCAAAGGAAUUGACGGGGGCCCGCACAAGCGGUGGAGCAUGUGGUUUAAUUCGAUGAUACGCGAGGAACCUUACCAAGGCUUAAAUGCAGACUGACCGAUUUGGAAACAGAUCUUUCAC